GGCCUCUGAAAAAAAUAUGAUUGUUGGUUAGCAGAACAAGUAUUUCUCUAGCAGUGCAAGCAGACGUUUUCUUCCUGGUGACAUGUGAGAGUGGGUGGCACAACUCGUUUUAUAGCCCUUCGCAGAUGCUGCAUGUUUUACAAGUUGAAGGUUCGUGGCCAGCCGGCAUCAAGCAAGUCUAUGGGCGCAAGUUUUCCAAAAGCGUUUGCUCACUUCGUGUCAUUGUGUCACAUUUUGGGACUGAAAUGUUGUGGCAGACGUGCAUCAUCAACCAUCCUGAGGAAGGCAGCAUCUAUGAGAACGGUGGAGUAGUGCAUGGGAAGAAAAUGAAGCCAUAGGAACAAAAUCACAGAACAAAACCUCACUUGCCUAGGCUCUUCAGACUUUUAAAUUGUUCCAUGUGCUUUAGCUAAACUUCAGUUAACCUAAGGCAUUGUUUUUUGUUUGUUUUCCAGCAGUUUAGUCUUUAUCUUAAUAAAACGGCUUGGGAAAAUAUGGACUAAUUGCUAUUUUUUAUUGCUAUUCUUUUAAAGUG